AGAGUUUGAUCCUGGCUCAGGAUGAACGCUGGCGGCGUGCUUAACACAUGCAAGUCGAACGAUGAUGCCAGCUUGCUGGUGGAUUAGUGGCGAACGGGUGAGUAACACGUGAGUAACCUGCCCUUAACUCUGGGAUAAGCCUGGGAAACUGGGUCUAAUACCGGAUAUGACUCCUCAUCGCAUGGUGGGGGGUGGAAAGCUUUUUGUGGUUUUGGAUGGACUCGCGGCCUAUCAGCUUGUUGGUGAGGUAAUGGCUUACCAAGGCGACGACGGGUAGCCGGCCUGAGAGGGUGACCGGCCACACUGGGACUGAGACACGGCCCAGACUCCUACGGGAGGCAGCAGUGGGGAAUAUUGCACAAUGGGCGAAAGCCUGAUGCAGCGACGCCGCGUGAGGGAUGACGGCCUUCGGGUUGUAAACCUCUUUCAGUAGGGAAGAAGCGAAAGUGACGGUACCUGCAGAAGAAGCGCCGGCUAACUACGUGCCAGCAGCCGCGGUAAUACGUAGGGCGCAAGCGUUAUCCGGAAUUAUUGGGCGUAAAGAGCUCGUAGGCGGUUUGUCGCGUCUGCCGUGAAAGUCCGGGGCUCAACUCCGGAUCUGCGGUGGGUACGGGCAGACUAGAGUGGUGUAGGGGAGACUGGAAUUCCUGGUGUAGCGGUGAAAUGCGCAGAUAUCAGGAGGAACACCGAUGGCGAAGGCAGGUCUCUGGGCAUUAACUGACGCUGAGGAGCGAAAGCAUGGGGAGCGAACAGGAUUAGAUACCCGCGUAGUCCA
rnacentral:rRNA from 1 species